CUCUACGGCCAUACCACCCUAAACGUGCCCAAUCCCAUCUAAUCUUGGAAGCAGGGUCGGGCCUGGUUAGCACUUGGAUGGGAGAAAGAGCAAAAACCCUUCUCCAAAAAGC
rnacentral:rRNA from 1 species